CACGACACAUUCUCGGUUUCUGUUUUUUUGGCCUCCCUAAUGCUCUUUCUUUUCCUCCUUUGAGCCUUUUUCCGCACCCGCACCCCUUUGCCCGCACUUGACUCGGUUCUUGAAGCAUAUGUUCAUAUGUUGAACUCAAUUUCACUGAAUUAAGUAUAUCAAGACCAAUUUUUUCACCAGAAACUCCUACACUUUUACCACCAUUAUUCAAUAUAUUCAAUUUAAAAGAUAAUCAAGAAUUAAAAGUCCUUAUUUAAAAAAUGAUAAUCAAGUAUUAAAAGUCCUUAUUUAAAAAAUGAUCAGCAGAUGUUAAAGUUUUUGAGUUCUUUUGUUCCCCUGCAAAUUAGGAAUGUAAAGUCUAUCAUUUAAAAAAUGAUCAGCAAAUUUUUGAGUUUUUUUGAUCAUCAGAUGUUUAAAGUCCUCAUCCAAAUUAGGAAUGUAAAACCAUUAAAUAGAUUAAAAAUUAAAUAUAAACAAACAAACCAAUUAAGUAGUUUAAUAAACAAACAGAACAAUUAAUCCAAUUAAUAAACAAACAUCUCAGAGCAGAGUUUACCUAUAAACAAACAAACCAAUUAAGUAUUUUAAUAAAUUCAGAUAUGGAAGAAAUUAAACCAUUAAAUGGAUUAAAAAUUCAAUGAGCAGAAUGUGUGAUAUGUGGUCAAAUGGGUUUGCACUGUUUUCCCCCAACUGUGCAGCCAACCGAAGAAUAAAAGAAAAAUGUUGUUCUGUUUUGUAAAGAAGAAAAAAAAACAAAACAAUUAAUCCAAAAUCUUCUUUUUUUUAUACCCUGAUUUAGUUAUUUAGAUCUGGGUUUAAACCUAGAUUCCUCUUCUUCUUCUUUUUUUCGUUUAAACCCAAAUCUGAAAAGAGAGAAAAAAUAUUACCUAGACGGAUUUGGGAGGACAUCGAACUUGUGUUACCUGGGCGGAAUGACUCUUCAAUCGCUGGUAUGCAGAGGAAGAAGAGAAUACGUGGUACGGAGAGGAAGAGGGAAGAGGGAAGAGGGAAGAGGGAAUAGAGAAUGCGUGGAAGAGAGAAU
rnacentral:lncRNA from 1 species